rnacentral:rRNA from 1 species
GAUGAACGCUAGCGGCAGGCCUAAUACAUGCAAGUCGAACGGUAGAUCGGGUAGCAAUACUUGAUUGAGAGUGACGUAAGGGUGCGUAACACGUAUGCAAUCUACCCUCAACAGGAGUAUAGCUCGGGGAAACUCGGAUUAACACUCCAUAACAUUACGAUGUGGCAUCACAUUGUGAUUAAAACUCCGGUGGUUGAGGAUGAGCAUGCGUCUGAUUAGUUAGUUGGAGGUGUAACGGACCCCCAAGACGAUGAUCAGUAGGGGAACUGAGAGGUUGAUCCCCCANACUGGCACUGAGAUACGGGCCAGACUCCUACGGGAGGCAGCAGUAGGGAAUAUUGGUCAAUGGGUGAGAGCCUGAACCAGCCAUGCCGCGUGCAGGAAGACGGCCUUCUGGGUUGUAAACUGCUUUUAUCUGGGGAUAAAAAGCCCAUGCGUGGGACAUUGAAGGUACCAGAUGAAUAAGCACCGGCUAACUACGUGCCAG